rnacentral:tRNA from 1 species
GCCUUCGUGGUGUACUGGUCAGCACGCUCGACGCGUAACCGAGAGGUCCGUGGUUCGAUUCCCGGAGAAGGCG